CACUGUUCUUAAGGUCACUUCCUAACAACAGUGUUGGCGGUGUGGGUUGAUAAAGAAGUAGUAUGUGGAGUGUGAGACUGAAAAAGGACUGCAUUCCAGGACUGCAUAUGGUAUGGGAUUGAAAAGGGAAGGUCGCAAGUUUUCUUUGACAUCUUCUCCAGUAUUCCCUCUUACUCCACCUAAUAUGUCUCUUAACUUCUUUUUCUUUAAUGUUGUCUCCCAUUUCUCUCAGUCGACGAGUCCUUCAACCAACCACCGCAUUCUACCACUCAUGUCCUAUGUAUCGCCUUCAACCACCCACCUUUUGCUUCGAACCACCCCCAUCUAUUCAUCUUCACAUUUUCAUUGUUGCAAUCGGCGCUGGAAAUUUCUAGGGUUUUGAAAUAGAGUUGAAUUUGGGGUUUCUUUGUUCCUAUUUUGAAGAAAGGAAUAAACUGAAAACGAAGGAGGAUAACAAUGGGGAACUGAAACCAUUUCUGAUGAGCAUCAAGAAUUUUCUCACCAUACGUAUGUAAGAUCUUUCAUUCCCGUACAUGGUUGUUGAUUGAAGAAGAAAGUAAAGAAUAAAGAAAAGGAAAAGGGAAGAAUGGUUGGACUUAGGAGCUAUGUUACGGUGUGAUAUGAUUUUGAUAGACUAUGUGAUACCAUCUUUAUUCCUCAACUGCUACUCAAUGACCACCUCCAUAUCCGCCAGAUCUCAUCCCCACCACCGCCACCACUCUUCUAAGCAUCUGUUCUUAUAUCUUUCAAUUGUGCAAAUCUGAAAUGGCACCCUAGAGUUAAAACUCUGCAGCGAUUGAUAAAAGCUACUGCAAUCAAUAGAAAUCAUCUCCUACUCUAAAUCUGAGACAAACCAGGUUAUCGAUCUUCUAGAAUAAUAACUGGAGUAUAUUAUGGAGACGCAGUGAUCGCAAAAUGGCAUGAACGAAUUCAAAUCAGAAUCAUGGAUUGAAAUAUGAAUCCAACCUAUCUAUUUGGCGCCCGAUCUAAGCUACUACCGAACAAGAUUAAAAUUACUUCAGCAACAAUGUUCUUCAUCAAUGGUUUGGGAACACCUUAUAAUCAACGAUAAUCAUCAAUUCAUCAUCAUCUUUGUGAACUUUCAGAUGGAGCUCCCUUCAAACUAAAGCUAUUGUAGCAACAAUUACCCACCAUUAUGGCCACAUAAACGGAGGUCCACGUCAUCAUAAAUUCUAUAUUUUCAAAUUUAGUCUUCAAAUGAAUACAGCGUGAACACUGGUCACUAAACAUGAAACAAACACAUUUUCUUAAACAUUGUUAUUCUUAUUUGGUAUGAGCAGAUGGUUGACAUGUAGACACCAUACCCUUUUUCAAUAGAAAAUAUGCUAAUUCCCCUUUUCUCCAAUCUCAAGAUCAAACAAAUCAACUUCUAAUGGGUGCAUUAUUGGUUUUGACCCCUCCCCAAUCACCUUUUUUGUUUUCAGGUAACAAAAAAUACCUAAUUUUGAUUUAAAUUCCAUCUCUUCAACCACCAAUCGAUUUUUUCUAAUGUCCUUGAAUGAUUUUGCAUAGAAAAGAACUCCUUUUAACUUAUUUGCCAAAGAUUAUCUCACAUUGGCCCCUCUCCAAUCAUCUUCAAAAAAGAAGUUGACACCUUUAUCUACCAGAGAACCAGCUUUACCACAUCAUCAAGGUCAAAUGAAAGAUCCAUCUGAAAGUGGCUGGUCAACCCGACAACCAUUGUAUAUUUUCUUUCUAGCAACAAAGACUUUUGAACAUAGUUAGUUUUGUAGGAACUAAUAUUUGUUCUUGAAAAACACAAUUGCGUUUUAAAAUAUAAAUUAUUUUGAUAAAAA